rnacentral:rRNA from 1 species
GUAGGUGGCAAGCGUUGUCCGGAAUUAUUGGGCGUAAAGCGCGCGCAGGUGGGUUCUUUAAGUCUGAUGUGAAAGCCCCCGGGCUCAACCGGGGAGGGUCAUUGGAAACUGGGGAACUUGAGUGCAGGAGAGGAAAGUGGAAUUCCACGUGUAGCGGUGAAAUGCGUAGAUAUGUGGAGGAACACCAGUGGCGAAGGCGACUUUCUGGCCUGUAACUGACACUGAGGCGCGAAAGCGUGGGGAGCAAACAGGAUUAGAUACCCUGGUAGUCCACGCCGUAAACGAUGAGUGCUAAGUGUUGGGGGGUUUCCGCCCCUCAGUGCUGCAGCUAACGCAUUAAGCACUCCGCCUGGGGAGUACGGUCGCAAAGACUG